UCUGUUUUCUGUGAAAUUUUUUGAAACUAAGCAGAUGUCAUACUUCACUUUUUUAUUAAUCAGAAUAUGUAGUCAGUAGAAGACUUUAUUUUUAAUCUCAUUACUUUAGUUAAUGCUGCAAGGACACAUUGAAAGCAUACCUCAAGAAAAGAGAUGUUGAAAUCAAGAGCUGUCGACUGACCCCAGUGGUGCUGCAACCUCAGCAAAAUGGCAUCCCAUUUCAAGGUAAAAAUAUGAAUUCUUAAAUCCUACAUAAAUGAUCUAAGUGACAAGAAUAGAAUAUUUAUUCAAACAAUUGAAGAUUCUGAAAGAGAAGCCAAUGACAAUUUUUCAUCUGAAGGUUAGACUACUGGGAGCUGACCAGCUAAUUAAUAUGAAUUAUGCCAAGCCUGUAAUGAUGUAGAAGAAAUCAAGCUUCGCAAGGCUGAGACUGCUGCCUUGGGGCAAUUUCAGAAACUGGAUGAAAUCAUGAAGAUUUGUGCUAAACAGCUAAAAUUGCAACUUCCAGCCAAGGAUAAUGUGGUUCACUGCAUUAAGGAUGAUCUUAAUAAAACCAUGUGUGGCAGACAUGUUAGUAGAUAAGGUUUUAUUCAUGUCUUGCUUCCCCACUUACUCCAUUGAGAUCAGUUGGUUUAGAUGAAGGGAAACUAACUUCACCAACUUCCUAUCCUGAUCCUUCUUUCCUGUUGAAAAGAGGAUGUUCCCUUAGGAUGGAAAGCAUAUGAUGAACCAGAGAUGAACUAUACAGACCAUUUCAGGUCAGCAUAUGAUGAACCAUAUGAUGAACCAGAGGUGAACCAUACAGACCGUUUCAGGUCAAAUUCUUGUUUCUUUUCAUUGACAUAGAAAAAACAGGUUUGAACCAUCAAACCUUAAGCUUUACUACUGAAUUAAUGUACAUUAUUCAAAGCCUGUUUGAUUGGUAGUGGGAAACAGUAAAAAUAUCAGGCUGUUAAGUCAAUAGGGCUGAGUAAUUUGUGUCUGUGAUUUUGAUUUUAUAUCAUCCGUUAAUCAGAAAUUAUAAACUGAAUCUUGAUUUCUUCUUAAAACUGGUAUUUGGGCGGAGGGGGAACACUCCAAGCAACUUUGUAAAGUUUAUUCUUCUACUUAUGUAUGUUUCUGCUUGUUACCUCUGCUAUAUGUAAGGGAUAUUGUUACUGAUCAGAGAGCAAGGAAGGGAAAUGUACAUUAAAAAAACCCAUCGCUUAUAAAUAGUGUUCAUUUAUUCAUUUAUAAAUAGUGUCCCUUUUUCCCCCUCAGUCUGCUUGCCGUCUUCCUGCAUGUAUGGUGGUUUGGAGUAAAAAUGUUACUGUGUUUUCCUAUCUUCUUUUCAUAUGUUUCUUUAUUUUAUCCUAGAAACAUCUAGACUGAGGGAAGUGGUAAGCUGCUGUCUUUAUACUUGCCUUGAUUGUCAAGGCAUUUUAGGUAUUUUUUUUAAACUUUGUUUCCUGGUAGUUGUGGCAAUAAGAGUUUAGAGAGUCUCCUGUAGGAUGGUGGUGGAGGAGGAAUAUAACAAAUACAAUUAGUGGUAAUUUUCCUAUCUUAAAAUUUUCUUCAUGCUGAAAGGCAAAUAAAUCUUUUCACACUGCCACAUCAACAAUGUUUAAGUAGGGGUAAAAAGC